UACGAAGGGGACUAGCGUUGUUCGGAAUCACUGGGCGUAAAGCGCACGUAGGCGGAUUGGUCAGUUAGGGGUGAAAUCCUGGAGCUCAACUCCAGAACUGCCUUUAAUACUGCCAAUCUCGAGUCCGGAAGAGGUGAGUGGAACUCCUAGUGUAGAGGUGGAAUUCGUAGAUAUUAGGAAGAACACCAGUGGCGAAGGCGGCUCACUGGUCCGGUACUGACGCUGAGGUGCGAAAGCGUGGGGAGCAAACAGG
rnacentral:rRNA from 1 species